GCACGGAGUUAGCCGGGGCUUCUUCUACGGGUACCGUCAACCUUGCGGUUUCUUCCCCGUCGAAAGGGUUUUACGUCCCAAGAGACUUCAUCACCCACGCGGCGUUGCUUGGUCAGGGUUGCCCCCAUUGCCAAAAAUUCCCCACUGCUGCCUCCCGUAGGAGUCUGGACCGUGUCUCAGUUCCAGUGUGUCCGACCGUCCUCUCAGACCGGAUACUGAUCGUAGCCUUGGUGAGCCAUUACCUCACCAACUAGCUAAUCAGCCGCGGGCUCCUCCUGGAGCGAAUUGCUCCUUUCAUCACAAAAUCCGCAGACCUCGUGAUCGUAUGCGGUAUUAGCACCGGUUUCCCGGUGUUAUUCCCCACUCCAGGGCAGAUUACCCACGUGUUACUCACCCGUGCGCCGCUGUACUCAGGGAGUUGCCCCCCUUUUCUCGCUCGACUUGCAUGUGUUAGGCACGCCGCCAGCGUUGAUU
rnacentral:rRNA from 1 species